rnacentral:rRNA from 1 species
CGGUAGGCUUAACACAUGCAAGUCGAGCGAGAAAGUAUCUUCGGAUAUGAGUAGAGCGGCGGACGGGUGAGUAACGCGUAGGAAUCUACCUAGUAGAAGGGGAUAGCCCGGGGAAACUCGGAUUAAUACCGUAUACCUCCUAAGGGAGAAAGAGGGCCUCUCUUGAAGCUCUCGCUACUAGAUGAGCCUGCGUAAGAUUAGCUUGUUGGUAAGGUAAUGGCUUACCAAGGCUACGAUCUUUAGCUGGUCUGAGAGGACGAUCAGCCACAUUGGGACUGAGACACGGCCCAGACUCCUACGGGAGGCAGCAGUGGGGAAUAUUGGACAAUGGGCGCAAGCCUGAUCCAGCCAUACCGCGUGUGUGAAGAAGGCCUUCGGGUUGUAAAGCACUUUAAGCAGGGAGAAAAAGCAAUAAGUUAAUACCUUAUUGCCGUGAUGUUACCUGCAGAAUAAGCACCGG